rnacentral:tRNA from 1 species
UCCCUGGAGGACUAGUGGUUAGGCCUUGGCAUUCUCACCACCGCGGCCUGGGUUUGAUUCCCGGCCAGGGAU